AUUGAACGCUGGCGGAAUGCUUUACACAUGCAAGUCGAGCGGCAGCGCGGGGCAACCUGGCGGCGAGCGGCGAACGGGUGAGUAAUACAUCGGAACGUACCCCGUCGUGGGGGAUAACUACCCGAAAGGGUAGCUAAUACCGCAUACGACCUGAGGGUGAAAGCGGGGGACCGUAAGGCCUCGCGCGAUGGGAGCGGCCGAUGGCGGAUUAGCUAGUUGGUGAGGUAAAGGCUCACCAAGGCGACGAUCCGUAGCGGGUCUGAGAGGACGACCCGCCACACUGGAACUGAGACACGGUCCAGACUCCUACGGGAGGCAGCAGUGGGGAAUUUUGGACAAUGGGGGCAACCCUGAUCCAGCCAUUCCGCGUGAGUGAAGAAGGCCUUCGGGUUGUAAAGCUCUUUCGGCAGGAACGAAACGGUGGCUCCUAAUACGAGUUACUAAUGACGGUACCUGAAGAAGAAGCACCGGCUAACUACGUGCCAGCAGCCGCCGCCG
rnacentral:rRNA from 1 species